ACGGAGGGUGCAAGCGUUGUUCGGAUUUAUUGGGCGUAAAGCGCGUGUAGGCGGUUUUUUAAGUCUGAUGUGAAAGCCCCGGGCUCAACCUGGGAAGUGCAUUGGAUACUGGAAGACUUGAGUACGGGAGAGGGUAGUGGAAUUCCUAGUGUAGGAGUGAAAUCCGUAGAUAUUAGGAGGAACACCGGUGGCGAAGGCGGCUGCCUGGACCGAUACUGACGCUGAGACGCGAAAGCGUGGGGAGCAAACAGGAUUAGAUACCCUGGUAGUCCACGCCGUAAACGAUGAGUACUAGGUGUUGCGGGUAUUGACCCCUGCAGUGCCGCAGCUAACGCAUUAAGUACUCCGCCUGGGAAGUACGGUCGCAAGACUA
rnacentral:rRNA from 1 species